rnacentral:tRNA from 1 species
GUAAGUGUAGUUUAAUAAAGACACUAGAUUGUGAUUCUAGAAAUAAAGGUUAGACCCCUUUCACUCACC